GCCUAGAAACUUGAAGAGCAGCCUGAAGUCACACAGCUGAUUAGUGAAAGUCAGCAGAAAGCUGGCUGUGUCUCUGAUGAGGUUGUGAGUAGGGGUGGGUGAGAGGAUGGUUCCAGGAAGCCUCAAAGAGUGACAUUUGAGUUUGGUGAGGAAUGUCCAGGCAGGCAGAAGAAAAGCAGGGCUUUUAGGAUAGGAUUGGUGUUGCUUCCUUCUACAGUCAUGGCCUCCUUUAAGUUAUGAGGUUUUCUAGAAAUGAUGAAAAUACUUCUUGCUUUUGGUAACUUGGGGAGUUUUCUUAAGAAGGGAAAAUUAAGCAACUCUGAAGGGGGAAAAAAAGACUUUUCAAGAUGAGCUCAAAGGAAUACAUUUAGACCUAGGUUUAUACACUUAUAGGAGCUACAUCUCCUGUCAUGUACAUCCAGAGGCCUAGUGGGUUGAAUGGUGAUCCCCCACUGGAAAACACAUAUUCAUGUCCAUAUUCCCAGAAACUGUGAAAAUGUGACUUUAUUCAGACAAGGGGUCUUUGCAGACAUAGUUAACUUAAGGAUCUCAAGAUGAGGUCAUUCAGGAUGGUUCCUGAAUCCAAUGACAGGUGUUCCUAGAAGAGAAAGACAGAGGAAGAUUAGAGACGCAGGCACAUAGAGGAAGGCCACAUAAAGAUGGGAACAGGGAUGGAAGAGAUGCCACCAGAAGUCAAGCGGUGCCUUGAGCUACCAGAAGCUGGAAGAGGUUUCAGGACCAGCAUGUCUAAAUCAAACCCUCUCUGACCACCCAGAUUCUCUGGAGUAAAGAUUCAGCGUCUCAGGAGGCAGCAAUAAACAGUGGUAAAGAGUGCAGGUUCUGAAGUCACAUUGUGCAAUAUUGGGCUCCUCAGCGAUACACUUCCUCCAGCGAUAGACCCUUCAGACAAGAAACGUGCUGCUCCUGCAUUUCUACCCACUCUUCCUCUGCAAGAAGUGCCCCGAGA